ensembl:snoRNA SNORA63 Small nucleolar RNA SNORA63
GUGCAGGAUAAGUUACAAUGCAGCUUUUGCAGUACUGCAUUGUCGUUCCCCCUGCAAACAGUAAAUUGUUUCCUCGCUAUACCUGUCUGCCUGCAUCUUUUGGCUGCCAGGAACGUAAGGUUUCAGACAC